AUGAACGCUGGCGGCGUACCUAAUACAUGCAAGUCGAGCGAACGGACGAGAAGCUUGCUUUUCUGAUGUUAGCGGCGGACGGGUGAGUAACACGUGGAUAACCUACCUAUAAGACUGGGAUAACUUCGGGAAACCGGAGCUAAUACCGGAUAAUAUUUUGAACCGCAUGGUUCAAAAGUGAAAGACGGUCUUGCUGUCACUUAUAGAUGGAUCCGCGCUGCAUUAGCUAGUUGGUAAGGUAACGGCUUACCAAGGCAACGAUGCAUAGCCGACCUGAGAGGGUGAUCGGCCACACUGGAACUGAGACACGGUCCAGACUCCUACGGGAGGCAGCAGUAGGGAAUCUUCCGCAAUGGGCGAAAGCCUGACGGAGCAACGCCGCGUGAGUGAUGAAGGUCUUCGGAUCGUAAAACUCUGUUAUUAGGGAAGAACAUAUGUGUAAGUAACUGUGCACAUCUUGACGGUACCUAAUCAGAAAGCCACGGCUAACUACGUG
rnacentral:rRNA from 1 species